rnacentral:rRNA from 1 species
UACGGGGGGGGCAAGCGUUGUUCGGAAUUACUGGGCGUAAAGCGCGCGUAGGCGGACCUGCAAGUCGGGGGUGAAAGCCCGAGGCUCAACCUCGGAACUGCCUUCGAUACUGCGGGUCUUGAGUCCGGGAGAGGUGAGUGGAAUUCCUAGUGUAGAGGUGAAAUUCGUAGAUAUUAGGAAGAACACCAGUGGCGAAGGCGGCUUCCUGGCCGAAUACUGACGCUGAGGCACGAAAGCGUGGGGAGCGAACGGG